ACAGGCAUGUUACCAAGCCAACUGGGUUCACUACAAAGACCCAGAGAACGCUUUUUAUCACAAAGAUCAAGACAACAAUUGUGUGCCUACAAGAAAAGAACAACUAAAACCAUCCAACAAGCAUUAAAAGAACAAUUCUAGAGAUAGUUGCCUUUGAACUCCAAUAAUGGAGUUCAUCUAUGAAACAGAAGAAAUCUAAAUUUUGCCUUGGCUUCACCCCAAACUACAAAAAGUACUGUUUUACAAGAGCUUAUUCUGAAAUAUCACUUCCUGAACGUAGAAGUAUGCUAUUUGCACAGAUACAUUCCAUAGACAUACACAAUGUCCAGCUGAGAAAAUAAAGGAUAGUCCAUCUGGAUGUUUCUUUCUUUCUCCUAACUGUGACCUCCUGCUCCAGAGAGGACACCAGCAUCUUUUGCUACUGAGGUAUCAAACAACCAUUCCUGCUGGGGAACCUCAGGGAGGGAGAACCAGAUGUAUAUUCUUCUCCCUCCCAAGAAGCAGCCACUGUUGAGCCACUUCAGGAACAGAGCUGUCACCUCUCUCAACCCCACCAGGCCCAGAGAAACAUUUCUAAUAUCCAAAGGGGAAAUUUCAUGACGGAAAAAGUCUUACUGUGGAUUUCCAACUCUAGAACUAUGAUUCAUUUUUAAUAUACAAAAGAGAAGACCUCAAUGAAAUUGUUCUCUAAUAUGUUCUUUGGGUUUCUCCCAAUCCCUCGCCUAUCACGAAAGAUCAUGGUGAAAACAUCUGAGAAAAACUACUAUAUAUUAUCCCCUUUUGUCUUCUGGAGAGCUCUAUGAUGUAAUUGUGUUCAUGCCAAUUUACAGAGUGAUCCCUGGGCCAGCAGCAUCAGCAUCAUCUGAAAACUUGUGAGAAAUGCAAAUUCUCAGGCCCCACUCCAGAUCUAUUGAACCUAAAACUCUGGGGAUGAAGCUAAGAAAUCCAGAUGCCAACAUUUGAGAAUCACUUAUCUGGAAAGAUUCUACUUGCACAUUGUCUAUACACUCUCACCUCACUUGAAAGAAACAAAAACUGCAAACUAUAGACCAUUAAUUUUGAGAUGCCACCACAACUCGUGUGAAUCCCCUGGAGACCCUCCAUCACCAUCACCAUCCCUUCUCUAUGUCUGCAAGAAAAACAAAAG